AUUCUUCAUGGCUUCCCAGAAUCCGGACGGCAGCCGUAUUGUAAUGUUAAUGGUACCAGUGCAAUUAGAGUUCCAGGAAGCCUCCAGGCGGGCGGUAUAGCCACAAAGGACAUCUACGUAAAACAUUCCACUGACGGAACUGUCCACAGGACAUUGAAGCGACAGCGCAGGCCAACACAACUCUCGUCCGGCCAGUACUUGAAUAUGAUUCUGCAGUAUGGGACCCUUACAAAGGUCCCGGUGUAGCGGUGAUCGCUGUCGCUAGUGCUCAGGGUCGCUCUAAAUAUAGCGGUAGCCCUGCUGUUCGACGCUCGCAUAAUUCGACCCAUAGGUAAAUGUAAACAUUUUAUAUGGUUGUAAUCAGCAAUUCUUGUGAAGUAUGGUGAUGAAAAAAACCCAAAAGACAAUAAAACAAUUUGUAUUAUUGAAUUAUUUUGUUUUAAAAAAACAGAAAAUGCUUGGUUUUUAAUUCUACAUCUGAAAUUGUGAUCGGCAUAUGAACUUCAUUUAUGUACAUAUUUUAAUGAGAAGACGUGCAUUUUAACUAAUAUAUUAAAUUAUAUAACUAGUGCAGCUCCUUUAGAAAAAAUAUCAACAGAAACUUACUAAUAAUUAUUCAUUUUACAUGCAAGAAUCAUCGAGAUCGGCAUCCCACCAAUGUCGUCCUGUACUCGAGUCUCGACUGAUUUAUUUCAUUAUGAUUAUGAUUAUGAUAACAAUACCUUGAAAGUAAGAUAGUGGUUUAAAAAGAAAAAGUAAAUAUUAUUGUUUUUAUUGUCGAUGAUUUAAUUGCUAGUAUGAAUAAAUGCGAAUCAUGAUCACACUCUAUCAGUCUAAUUCAAAACAAAGUUGUGACUCGAAUUUCCUCUAUUGUGUUUUUUAAUAUCGAAAAGCAAUCAGCUAUGUCAAUGAAGUAUUUUUAUAUAGGUGUUGAAAUGCUUAGGUAUUUAGUUUUAAUUUUUUGCGCAAUUAGUUAUGAAUUUAAAGCAGAUUUUCGACAUAGUUUGUGGUCAGAAUAAUCCAUGCCGCAUGGCUAAUUUUCAUUUGUAAUUAAAUGAGCACAAAGCACAACUAGCCAAUCCAAUAAACUUAUCAUGGUUAUGUAACACUAACCUGACUGUAAUAGAGUGAAUUUUACAUGUUUUUAAUACUUUAUUCCAGGGAUUUUAUUUAUUGAAAAUAAAUUGCUUUAAUUCAAUUUCUUUACAGAGUUUUGAAAUUUGAUAUGAGAAUAAAGUUUUAUCUAAUUGAAAUCAUUAUUAUAACUAUGACUUGUGUUUGUCUUGUUAUUUCAUUACUUAUUAAAUUUUACUGCUUACUAUGCAGAACAGGUUUUUCUUUAGGAUAAUUGUUACUAUUUAUAGAUCACUCUAGCUUGGUCACAUGGUUUUU